CGUGCACCAGUGGGGUCCCUCGGCCUGGCCUGUGCCCUCUUGCAAUCUGGGACCCUUGGGGGAUGUCGGAGAGCCAGUUUCAGCCCAAUCCCCACAGGCCAGGCCGAGGGACUCCACUGGUGCAUG
rnacentral:pre_miRNA from 1 species